UUAUGAAGACGGUUUGAGGAACAGGAUGCUGUGCUGUUUCAGCCGUGUUUAGUCAACUAACUGUAGCAACUACCGUUUACAGGCCUGAGGGCAAGUGACAUGCUAAUGGUCAACUAUUGUCAAGGUGGAGCAACAGUUUGAAGAGAAUCUUGCAGAACAAGUCAGCAAAAUCUGUGGAAUGCUGGGAAGGGUUAAAGUGUUGGAUGUCGAGACCCGAGGCGCCUCACGCUUCGCUGAUGACCCCUGUGCUUUCUCUAGCGAGUCGUGCCCUAACCUCGCUCCUAGCGACAGCCACUUUUCCCAUGAGCAGAAGAAGCGGCCCAUCAGUGACCUGAGACACUACUGAAAGCCUGAUGU